CAGAUUUCCUGCUAAAAGGCCUUGGC
rnacentral:piRNA from 1 species